AUAUUGGACAAUGGGGGAAAGCCUGAUCCAGCCAUGCCGCGUGUGUGAAGAAGGCCUUCGGAUUGUAAAGUACUUUAGGAUGGGAGGAAGGGCUGCCACCUAAUACCCGGUUGUGCUGACGUUACCGACAGAAUAAGCACCGGCUAUCUUCGUGCCAGCAGCCGCGGUAAUACGAAGGGUGCAAGCGUUAAUCGGAAUUACUGGGCGUAAAGCGUGCGUAGGUGGUUUGGAAAGUAGGAAGUGAAAGCCCAGGGCUCAACCUUGGAACUGCUUUCAAAACUGGCAAGCUAGAGUAUGGCAGAGGGUGGUAGAAUUCCCUGUGUUGCAGUGAAAUGCGUAGAUAUAGGAAGGAACACCAGUGGCGAAGGCAACCCCCUGGGAUAAUACUGACGCUGAGAUGCGAAAGCGUGGGGAGCAAACAG
rnacentral:rRNA from 1 species